rnacentral:rRNA from 1 species
UACGGAGGGUGCAAGCGUUAUCUGGAUUCACUGGGUUUAAAGGGAGCGUAGGUGGGUUGGUAAGUCAGUGGUGAAAUCCCCCGAGCUUAACUUGGGAACUGCCAUUGAUACUAUCAGUCUUGAAUACUGUGGAGGUUAGCGGAAUAUGUCAUGUAGCGGUGAAAUGCUUAGAUAUGACAUAGAACACCAAUUGCGAAGGCAGCUGGCUACACAAAUAUUGACACUGAGGCUCGAAAGCGUGGGGAUCAAACAGG